UCAAAACAGCGGCCUUCGGGCCUCGCUGCACCCUUGUCUUUUGCGCACCGUAUUGUUUCCUCGGCGGGCUUGCCUGCCGGUUGGACAUCAUAAAACCUUUUGGCAUUCUGAAUCAUAACUAAGAAAUAAGUUA
rnacentral:misc_RNA from 1 species